GACGAACGCUGGCGGCGUGCUUAACACAUGCAAGUCGAACGGAAAGGCGCGGCUCUUGUGGGUUGCUCGAUUGGCGAACGGGGGAGAAACACGCGAGUAACCUGCCCUUGUCUGUGUGAGAACUUCAGGAGACUGCGGCUAAUACCGGAGAGAAUCUCCUGAUGCACGGGGGUGGAUGGAAAAUUUCGGCGGUUGGGGCUGGACUCGCGGGUUAUCAGCUGGUUUGUGGGGUAGGUACUGACCAAGGCUUUGACGGAUAGCCGGCAUGAGAGGGUGACCGGCCACAUUGGGACUGCGGUACGGACCAGUCUCCUACCGGCGGCAGCAGUGGGGAAUAUUGCACAAUGGGCGGACGCCUGAUGCAGCAACGCCGCGUGCGGGAUAACGGCCUUCGGGUUGUAAACCGCUUUCGCCUGUGCCGAAGCGUGAGUGACGGUAAUGGGUAAAGAAGCACCGGCUAACUACGUG
rnacentral:rRNA from 1 species